GAUAUAUGGGAUCACAUAGGGGAUAUGGGAGGGACAACGGGGUCAGCAUCGAGGGGGCGUGUGAAGCGUCCCUGGCCUGUUCCACGUGUCACGUCUACGUCAGCGCCCCCCACCUGGAGCAUCUGCCCCCCCCCAGCGAGAGGGAGGAGGACCUGGACACCCCCGC